rnacentral:lncRNA from 1 species
UCUAACUCUGGUGGUAAAGGAUUCUCUGCUGAGGUACUCGCCAUCACGAGUUCGAGCCCCAGCCACUGCGGAAUUCACAUACGGGCUGCAGCGUCCAAGGAGUCGACACGUGGAGUGCCAUUUAGCCGCCUACGUGACUAGUCUGGACCCACCUCGGUGGGGUCAGGACACCUGAGUUAUCAAAUAAAAAGAAGCAAAUACUGUAUUAUAGACCACAAUAUUAUAUAUAACUAGAGUUGAA